AUGUCAUGAUGUGGACAUUUUCUUAGCAUUGUUUUUAAUCUUUCCCGAGCUUGAUAAACCGACUCAAUGUCAGUAUACAAGAAAUUAGAAAUAUCUUGUCUUAGCUU